AAGGCCUUAGCUUAAUUAAAGUGCCUGCUUUGCAUGCAGGAGAUGUGGGGUAAAAUCCUGCAGGUCUUA
rnacentral:tRNA from 1 species